CGUGCAGGCGGGUUGGUAAGUCAGAUGUGAAAGCCCUGGGCUCAACCCAGGAAGUGCAUUUGAAACUGCCAUCCUUGAGUAUGGGAGAGGAGAGUGGAAUUCCCAAUGUAGAGGUGAAAUUCGUAGAUAUUGGGGGGAACACCCGUGGCGAAGGCGACUCUCUGGACUAAUACUGACGCUGAGACGCGAAAGCGUGGGGAGCAAACA
rnacentral:rRNA from 1 species